UACAGAGGUCCCAAGCGUUGUUCGGAUUCACUGGGCGUAAAGGGUGCGUAGGCGGUGGGAUAAGUCCGGUGUGAAAGCUCGGAGCUCAACUCCGAAAUUGCAUUGGAAACUAUUUCACUAGAGGAUUGGAGGGGAGACUGGAAUUCUCAGUGUAGCAGUGAAAUGCGUAGAUAUUGAGAGGAACACCAGUGGCGAAGGCGAGUCUCUGGACAAUUCCUGACGCUGAGGCACGAAAGCCGGGGGAGCAAACAGG
rnacentral:rRNA from 1 species